GAUUAGCUUCAGUCGGUACAGCACGAGUAUCUUAAUCUCAGAGUUGUGGGUUCAAGCCCCAUGUUGGGCA